rnacentral:rRNA from 1 species
CCUACGGGGGGCAGCAGUGGGGAAUAUUGGGCAAUGGGCGCAAGCCUGACCCAGCAACGCCGCGUGAAGGAAGAAGGCUCUCGGGUUGUAAACUUCUUUUGUUAGGGAAGAGUAGAAGACGGUACCUGACGAAUAAGCCACGGCUAGCUACGUGCCAGCAGCCGCGGUAAUACGUAGGUGGCAAGCGUUGUCCGGAUUUACUGGGUGUAAAGGGCGUGUAGCCGGGUUGAUAAGUCAGAUGUGAAAGCCUGAGGCUUAACCGCAGAACUGCAUUUGAAACUGUUGGUCUUGAGUACUGGAGAGGCAGACGGAAUUCCUGGUGUAGCGGUGAAAUGCGUAGAUAUUAGGAGGAACACCAGUGGCGAAGGCGGUCUGCUGGACAGCAACUGACGGUGAGGCGCGAAAGCGUGGGGAGCAAACAGGAUUAGAUACCCCUGUAGUC